rnacentral:rRNA from 1 species
CCCUUAGAUGUCCGGGGCUGCACGCGCGCUACACUGAAGGAAUCAGCGUGCUAAAACCAUUGUCGAAAGGCAUUGGUAAACCCAUUAAAAUCCUACGUGAUUGGGAUCGGGAAUUGCAAUUAUUUCCCUUGAACGAGGAAUUCCCAGUAAGUGUGGGUCAUAAGCUCGCGUUGAUUACGUCCCUGCCCUUUGUACACACCGCCCGUCGCUGCCCGGGACCGAGCCGUUUCGAGAAAAGCGGGGACUGCUGCUGUCGGGGCUUUCGGGCCUUGGCUUCGGUGGAAACCGCUUUAAUCGCAGUGGCUUGAACCGGGCAAAAGUCGUANCA